GACGAACGCUGGCGGCGUGCCUAACACAUGCAAGUCGAACGGAGCUAUUGACUUCGGUUGAUAGCUUAGUGGCGAACGGGUGAGUAACGCGUGAGCAACCUGUCCUUCAGAGGGGGAUAACAACGAGAAAUCGUUGCUAAUACCGCAUAAGACCACACUGUCGCAUGGCAGAGGGGUAAAAGGAGCAAUCCGCUGAUUGAGGGGCUCGCGUCCCAUUAGAUAGUAGGUGAGGUAACGGCUCACCUAGUCUGCGAUGGGUAGCCGAGCUGAGAGGCUGAACGGCCACACUGGAACUGAGACACGGUCCAGACUCCUACGGGAGGCAGCAGUGGGGAAUAUUGGGCAAUGGGCGAAAGCCUGACCCAGCAACGCCGCGUGAGGGAAGAAGGUCUUCGGAUUGUAAACCUCUGUUUCUUGGUGACGAAAAAAGAUACGGACGGUACGAACGAGGAAAGAACCGGCCCGGUAACUAACCUAGGUCACCGAGACGACGGCCGGAAACGGUAAAGUGGUGUACGUACG
rnacentral:rRNA from 1 species